rnacentral:lncRNA from 1 species
UUUGGCACACGGAGGCCGCCCGCAAAGUCUGGGGCCAUUCCGAGUCCGGCGGACGAACUUCGCCCACGCCCCACGCCAAGGCUAUAGCCCACCCGUUUCUUGGCCAUUUUUCCGCUGGGGGGUCUUGGCAGCCCGACCUUCGGGAGCUAAUUUUUGGUCACGGCUGUGCCCGUGGCCUAUUUUUCGCACACGGAGGCCGCCCGCAAAGUCUGGGGCCAUUCCGAGUCCGGCGGACGAACUUCGCCCACGCCCCCCACCAAGGCUAUAGCCCACCCGUUUUUUGGCCAUUUUUCCGCUGGGGGGUCUUGGCGCCCCGACCUUCGGGGGCUAAUUUUUGGGCGCGGCUGUGCCCGUGGCCUAUUUUUGGCACACGGAGGCCGCCCGCAAAGUCUGGGGCCAUUCCGAGUCCGGCGGACGAACUUCGCCCACGCCCCCAACCAGGCUAUAGCCCACCCGUUUUUUGGCCAUUUUUCCGCUGGGGGGUCUUGGCGCCCCGACCUUCGGGGGCUAAUUUUUGGGCGCGGCUGUGACCGUGGCCUAUUUUUGGCACACGGAGGCCGCCCGCAAAGUCUGGGGCCAUUCCGAGUCCGGCGGACGAACUUCGCCCACGCCCCCAACGAGGCUAUAGCCCACCCGUUUUUUGGCCAUUUUUCCGCUGGGGGGUCUUGGCAGCCCGACCUUCGGGGGCUAAUUUUUUGGCGCGGCUGUGCCCGUGGCGUAUUUUUGGCACAAGGAGGCCGCCCGCAAAGUCUGGGGCCAUUCCGAUUCCGGCGAGCGAACUUCGCCCACGCCCCCAACAAGGCUAUAGCCCACCCGUUUUUUGGCCAUUUUUCCGCUGGGGUGUCUUGGCGGCCCAACCUUCGGGGGCUAAUUUUUGGGCGCGGCUGUGCCCGUGGCCUAUUUUUGGCACACGGAGGCCGCCCGCAAAUUCUGGGGCCAUUCCGAGUCCGGCGGACGAACUUCGCCCACGCCCCCAACCAGGCUAUAGCCCACCCGUUUUUUGGCCAUUUUUCCGCUGGGGGGUCUUGGCGCCCCGACCUUCGGGGGCUAAUUUUUGGGCACGGCUGUGACCGUGGCCUAUUUUUGGCACACGGAGGCCGCCCGCAAAGUCUGGGGCCAUUCCGAGUCCGGCGGACGAACUUCGCCCACGCCCCCCGCCAAGGCUAUAGCCCACCCGUUUUUUGGCCAUUUUUCCGCGUGGGGGGUCUGGGCACCCCGACCUUCGGGGGCUAAUUUUUGGCCACGGCUGUGCCCGUGGCCUAUUUUUGGCACACGGAGUCCGCCCGCAAAGUUAGGGACCAUUCCGAGUCGGGCGGAGGAGCUUCCCUCACCCCCCCAACAAGGCUAUAGACCACCCGUAUUUUGACCAUUUUUCAGCUGGGGGGUCUUGGCCCCCCCGACCUUCGGGAGUUAAUUUUUGGGCGCGGCUGUGCCCGUGGCAUAUUUUUGGCACACGGAGGCCGUCCGCAAAGUCUGGGGCCAUUCCGAGUCCGGCGGACGAACUUCGCCCACGCCCCCCACCAAGGCUAUAGCCCACCCGUUUUUUGGCCAUUUUUCCGCUGAGGGUUCUUGGCGCCCCGACCUUCGGGGGCUAAUUUUUGGGCGCGGCUGUGCCCGUGGCCUAUUUUUGGCACACGGAGGCCGCCCGCAAAGUCUGGGGCCAUUCCGAGUCCGGCGGACGAACUUCGCCCACGCCCCCCGCCAAGGCUAUAGCCCACCCGUUUUUUGGCCAUUUUCCGCUGGGGGGUCUAGGCGCCCCGACCUUCGGGGGCUAAUUUUUGGGCGCGGCAGUGCCCGUGGCCUAUUUUUGGCACACGGAGGCCGCCCGCAAAGUCUGGGGCCAUUCCGAGUCCGGCGGACGAACUUCGCCCACGCCCCCCGCCAAGGCUAUAGCCCACCCGUUUUUUGGCCAUUUUUCCGCUGGGGGGUCUUGGCACCCCGACCUUCGGGGGCUAAUUUUUGGGCGCGGCUGUGCCCGUGGCCUAUUUUUGGCACACGGAGGCCGCCCGCAAAGUCUGGGGCCAUUCCGAGUCCGGCGGAUGAACUUCGCCCACGACCCCAACCAGGCUAUAGCCCACCCGUUUUUUGGCCAUUUUUCCGCUGGGGGGUCUUGGCGCCCCGACCUUCGGGGGCUAAUUUUUGGGCGCGGCAGUGCCCGUGGCCUAUUUUUGGCACACGGAGGCCGCCCGCAAAGUCUGGGGCCAUUCCGAGUCCGGCGGACGAACUUCGCCCACGCCCCCCGCCAAGGCUAUAGCCCACCCGUUUUUUGGCCAUUUUUCCGCUGGAGGGUCUUGGCGCCCCGACCUUUGGGGGCUAAUUUUUGGGCACGGCUGUGCCCGUGGCCUAUUUUUGGCACACGGAGGCCGCCCGCAAAGUCUGGGGCCAUUCCGAGUCCGGCGGACGAACUUCGCCCACGCCCCCAACAAGGCUAUAGCCCACCCGUUUUUUGGCCAUUUUUCCGCUCGGGUGUCUUGGCGGCCCAACCUUCGGGGGCUAAUUUUUGGGCGCGGCUGUGCCCGUGGCCUAUUUAUGGCACACGGAGGCCGCCCGCAAAGUCUGGGGCCAUUCCGAGUCCGGCGGACGAACUUCGCCCACGCCCCCAACCAGGCUAUAGCCCACCCGUUUUUUGGCCAUUUUUCUGCUGGGGGGUCUUGGCGCCCCGACCUUCGGGGGCUAAUUUUUGGGCGCGGCUGUGACCGUGGCCUAUUUUUGGCACACGGAGGCCGCCCGCAAAGUCUGGGGCCAUUCCGAGUCCGGCGGACGAACUUCGCCCACGCCCCACGCCAAGGCUAUAGCCCACCCGUUUUUUGGCCAUUUUUCCGCUGGGGGGUCUUGGCAGCCCGACCUUCGGGAGCUAAUUUUUGGUCACGGCUGUGCCCGUGGCCUAUUUUUCGCACACGGAGGCCGCCCGCAAAGUCUGGGGCCAUUCCGAGUCCGGCGGACGAACUUCGCCCACGCCCCCCACCAAGGCUAUAGCCCACCCGUUUUUUGGCCAUUUUUCCGCUGGGGGGUCUUGGCGCCCCGACCUUCGGGGGCUAAUUUUUGGGCGCGGCUGUGCCCGUGGCCUAUUUUUGGCACACGGAGGCCGCCCGCAAAGUCUGGGGCCAUUCCGAGUCCGGCGGAUGAACUUCGCCCACGACCCCAACCAGGCUAUAGCCCACCCGUUUUUUGGCCAUUUUUCCGCUGGGGGGUCUUGGCGCCCCGACCUUCGGGGGCUAAUUUUUGGGCGCGGCUGUGCCCGUGGCCUAUUUUUGGCACACGGAGGCCGCCCGCAAAGUCUGGGGCCAUUCCGAGUCCGGCGGACGAACUUCGCCCACGCCCCCAACAAGGCUAUAGCCCACCCGUUUGUUGGCCAUUUUUCCGCUGGGGGGUCUUGGCAGCCCGACCUUCGGGGGCUAAUUUUUUGGCGCGGCUGUGCCCGUGGCCUAUUUUUGGCACACGGAGGCCGCCCGCAAAGUCUGGGGCCAUUCCGUGUCCGGCGGACAAACUUCGCCCACGCCCCCCGCCAAGGCUAUAGCCCACCCGUUUUUUGGCCAUUUUUCCGCUGGGGGGUCUAGGCUCCCCGACCUUCGGGGGCUAAUUUUUGGGCGCGGCUGUGCCCGUGGCCUAUUUUUGGCACACGGAGGCCGCCCGCAAAGUCUGGGUCCAUUCCGAGUCCGGCGGACGAACUUCGCCCACGCCCCCCGCCAAGGCUAUAGCCCACCCGUUUUUUGGCCAUUUUUCCGCUGGGGGGUCUUGGCAGCCCGACCUUCGGGGGCUAAUUUUUGGGCGCGGCUGUGCCCGUGGCCUAUUUUUGGCACACGGAGGCCGCCCGCAAAGUCUGGGGCCAUUCCGAGUCCGGCGGACGAACUUCGCCCACGCCCCCAACAAGGCUAUAGCCCACCCGUUUUUUGGCCAUUUUUCCGCUGGGGUGUCUUGGCGGCCCAACCUUCGGGGGCUAAUUUUUGGGCGCGGCUGUGCCCGUGGCCUAUUUUUGGCACACGGAGGCCGCCCGCAAAUUCUGGGGCCAUUCCGAGUCCGGCGGACGAACUUCGCCCACGCCCCCAACCAGGCUAUAGCCCACCCGUUUUUUGGCCAUUUUUCCGCUGGGGGGUCUUGGCGCCCCGACCUUCGGGGGCUAAUUUUUGGGCGCGGCUGUGACCGUGGCCUAUUUUUGGCACACGGAGGCCGCCCGCAAAGUCUGGGGCCAUUCCGAGUCCGGCGGACGAACUUCGCCCACGCCCCACGCCAAGGCUAUAGCCCACCCGUUUUUUGGCCAUUUUUCCGCUGGGGGGUCUUGGCAGCCCGACCUUCGGGAGCUAAUUUUUGGUCACGGCUGUGCCCGUGGCCUAUUUUUCGCACACGGAGGCCGCCCGCAAAGUCUGGGGCCAUUCCGAGUCCGGCGGACGAACUUCGCCCACGCCCCCAACCAGGCUAUAGCCCACCCGUUUUUUGGCCAUUUUUCCGCUGGGGGGUCUUGGCGGCCCGACCUUCNNNNNNNNNNNNNNNNNNNNNNNNNNNNNNNNNNNNNNNNNNNNNNNNNNNNNNNNNNNNNNNNNNNNNNNNNNNNNNNNNNNNNNNNNNNNNNNNNNNNUCGCCCACGCCCCCCACCAAGGGUAUAGCCCACCCGUUUUUUGGCCAUUUUUCCGCUGGGGGGUCUUGGCGCCCCGACCUUCGGGGGCUAAUUUUUUGGCGCGGCAGUGCCCGUGGCCUAUUUUAGGCACACGGAGGCCGCCCGCAAAGUCUGGGGGCCAUUCCGAGUCCGGCGGACGAACUUCGCCCACGCCCCCCGCCAAGGCUAUAGCCCACCCGUUUUUUGGCCAUUUUUCCGCUGGGGGGUCUUGGCACCCCGACCUUCGGGGGCUAAUUUUUGGGCGCGGCUGUGCCCGUGGCCUAUUUUUGGCACACGGAGGCCGCCCGCAAAGUCUGGGGCCAUUCCGAGUCCGGCGGACGAACUUCGCCCACGACCCCAACCAGGCUAUAGCCCACCCGUUUUUUGGCCAUUUUUCCGCUGGGGGGUCUUGGCGCCCCGACCUUCGGAGGCUAAUUUUUGGGCGCGGCUGUGCCCGUGGCCUAUUUUUGGCACACGGAGGCCGCCCGCAAAGUCUGGGGCCAUUCCGAGUCCGGCGGACGAAC